GUAGGUGACAAGCGUUGUCCGGAUUUACUGGGCGUAAAGAGCGCGCAGGCGGUCGUUCAAGUCGAGUGUGAAAGCCCCCGGCUCAACUGGGGAGGGUCAUUCGAUACUGAUCGACUCGAAGGCAGGAGAGGGAAGUGGAAUUCCCGGUGUAGUGGUGAAAUGCGUAGAUAUCGGGAGGAACACCAGUGGCGAAGGCGACUUCCUGGCCUGUUCUUGACGCUGAGGCGCGAAAGCUAGGGGAGCAAACGGGAUUAGAUACCCCGGUAGUCCUAGCCGUAAACGAUGGACACUAGGUGUUGGUGGUAUCAACCCCGCCAGUGCCGAAGCUAACGCAUUAAGUGUCCCGCCUGGGGAGUACGGCCGCAAGGCUA
rnacentral:rRNA from 1 species